GCCACUUGUUGAUUUUGCAUGUAGAGUUUGAACUUGUGACAAUGAGCUAAAUGUUGUACCUCCAAGAACUUGAAAACGAAAAUGAGCUUGUGAGAAUUGAGCCUUUGAUUGUCAUACAUUUACAAUCUCAUUUUGUUCUUGAGUGUAAAUCAUUUGAGCAUGUGUGUUGAUCUCUAGAACUUGCCAUGAGUCAUCUCUUCAAAAUAAAAGUAGAUGUGUUGUUAAUAUUGAAGUGAUUUAAGGCCAUCCUUGUUAGCCACUUGACUUAAAUUGUGUCCAAAUUCUCAUAUGAUCCUAGUUUACCCUCUUUGUGCCUUGUAGCAUUUCUUUGAAUUAACCAAUGAUGGGUAGAACUUAGAUUGUUAGUGGUUACUUUGAUGAAAAUGUUUGGGAAAUGAUUGAAAUUGCUUAUCAAGCUUUGAUUGAGUAGAAAAUCACUAGUCCCCUAUGAGA
rnacentral:lncRNA from 1 species